UACGUAGGGACCGAGCGUUGUCCGGAAUCAUUGGGCGUAAAGAGCGUGUAGGCGGCCAAUUAAGUCCUGCGUGAAAUCUCGGGGCUCAACCCCGAGCGGUCGUGGGAAACUGAAGCGCUAGAGUGCGGUAGGGGUAGAGGGAAUUCCCGGUGUAGCGGUGAAAUGCGUAGAGAUCGGGAAGAACAUCGGUGGCGAAAGCGCUCUACUGGACCGCAACUGACACUCAGGGACGAAAGCUAGGGGAGCGAAUGGG
rnacentral:rRNA from 1 species